rnacentral:rRNA from 1 species
UCGUGUCGUGAGAUGGUGGGUUAAGUCCCGCAACGAGCGCAACCCUCAUCCCUAGUUCCCAUCAUUCAGUUGGGCACUCUAAGGAAACUGCCGGUGAUAAGCCGGAGGAAGGUGGGGAUGACGUCAAGUCCUCAUGGCCCUUACGCGCUGGGCUACACACGUGCUACAAUGGCAACUACAGUGGGCAGCAACCUCGCGAGGGGUAGCUAAUCUCCAAAAGUUGUCUCAGUUCGGAUUGUUCUCUGCAACUCGAGAGCAUGAAGGCGGAAUCGCUAGUAAUCGCGGAUCAGCAUGCCGCGGUGAAUACGUUCCCAGGCCUUGUACACACC